UACAGAGGUCUCAAGCGUUGUUCGGAUUCAUUGGGCGUAAAGGGUGCGUAGGCGGUGCGGUAAGUCGGGUGUGAAAUCUUGGAGCUUAACUCCGAAACUGCAUUCGAUACUGCCGUGCUUGAGGACUGGAGAGGAGACUGGAAUUUACGGUGUAGCGGUGAAAUGCGUAGAUAUCGUAAGGAAGACCAGUGGCGAAGGCGGGUCUCUGGACAGUUCCUGACGCUGAGGCACGAAGGCCAGGGGAGCAAACGAG
rnacentral:rRNA from 1 species